GACGAACGCUGGCGGCGUGCUUAACACAUGCAAGUCGAACGGAAAGGCCCUGCUUGCAGGGUACUCGAGUGGCGAACGGGUGAGUAACACGUGGGUGAUCUGCCCUGCACUUCGGGAUAAGCCUGGUAAACUGGGUCUAAUACCGGAUAGGAGCCAUUUUUAGUGUGAUGGUUGGAAAGUUUUUUCGGUGUUGGAUGAGCUCGCGGCCUAUCAGCUUGUUGGUGGGGUAAUGGCCUACCAAGGCGGCGACGGGUAGCCGGCCUGAGAGGGUGGACGGCCACAUGGGGACUGAGAUAGGCCCCAGACGCGAACGGGACGCAGCAGGGGGGAGUAUUGCACAGUGGGGGCAAGCCUGAUGCAGCGACGCCGCGUGGGGGAUGACGUCCUACGGGUUGUGAACUCCUUUCGAUAGAGACGAAGCUUUUGUGACGGUACCUAGAGAAGAAGCACCGGCUAACUACGUG
rnacentral:rRNA from 1 species